rnacentral:rRNA from 1 species
CAAUAGCGUAUAUUUAAGUUGUUGCAGUUAAAAAGCUCGUAGUUGGAUUUCGGAUGGGACUUGCCGGUCCGUCGUUUCGAUGUGCACUGGCCAGUCCUAUCUUGUUGUGGGGGACUAGCUCCUGGGCUUCACUGUCCGGGACUAGGAGCUGACGAGGUUACUUUGAGUAAAUUAGAGUGUUCAAAGCAAGCCUACGCUCUGAAUACAUUAGCAUGGAAUAACACGAUAGGACUCUGGCUUAUCUUGUUGGUCUGUGAGACCAGAGUAAUGAUUAAGAGGGACAGUCGGGGGCAUUCGUAUUUCAUUGUCAGAGGUGAAAUUCUUGGAUUUAUGAAAGACGAACUUCUGCGAAAGCAUUUGUCAAGGAUGUUUUCAUUAA